rnacentral:other from 1 species
AAUGUUCUGCCGGGUUCGUCACCGAUUACGAUGAUUGAGCCAACGUCGUUAAUAAGGGAGGCCGACAUCGCGAGCUAGUGCUUUUCUUCAUCGUUAAGGAGAGCCGAUGGGUUGCGGUGAAAAAAAGGCCACCCACCUGAUUACUCAGGUUCAAUUACGACUUCGGAACGGCCAGGCGGUUUUCCC